rnacentral:rRNA from 1 species
GAUGAACGCUGGCGGCGUGCCUAAUACAUGCAAGUCGAGCGAACAGACGAGGAGCUUGCUCCUUCGACGUUAGCGGCGGACGGGUGAGUAACACGUAGGUAACCUACCUAUAAGACUGGGAUAACUUCGGGAAACCGGAGCUAAUACCGGAUAAUAUUUCGAACCGCAUGGUUCGAUAGUGAAAGAUGGCUUUGCUAUCACUUAUAGAUGGACCUGCGCCGUAUUAGCUAGUUGGUAAGGUAACGGCUUACCAAGGCAACGAUACGUAGCCGACCUGAGAGGGUGAUCGCCAACACUGGACCGGAGCCCCGGUCCAGCCUCCUACGGGAGGCAGCAGUAGGGAAUCUUCCGCAAUGGGCGAAAGCCUGACGGAGCACCGCCGCGUGAGUGAUGAAGGUCUUCGGAUCGUAAAACUCUGUUAUGAGGGAAGAACAAACGUGUAAGUAACUGUGCACGUCUUGACGGUACCUAAUCAGAAAGCCACGGCUAACUACGUG